UACGGAGGGGGCUAGCGUUGUUCGGAAUUACUGGGCGUAAAGCGCGCGCAGGCGGUCUUCCAAGUCAGUGGUGAAAGCCUGGAGCUCAACUCCAGAACUGCCAUUGAAACUGUUAGACUUGAGUACGAGAGAGGUGAGUGGAAUUCCCAGUGUAGAGGUGAAAAUUCGUAGAUAUUGGGAAGAACACCAGUGGCGAAGGCGGCUCACUGGCUCGUAACUGACGCUCAGGCGCGACAGCGUGGGGAUCAAACAGG
rnacentral:rRNA from 1 species